rnacentral:lncRNA from 1 species
UUUCUUGACAAAUUUGAGAGGAAGUUUGUUAGCCAAGGAGCCUAUGACACCCGCAACAUAUUCCAGUCGCUUGAUUUAGCUUGGACACUCCUUCGCAUCUUCCCUCGUGAGCUUCUCCAUCGUAUCCCUGCAAAGACCCUGGAUCAGUAUUACAGCCGUGAUGCUUCUAAUUGAAGGAACCAGCUAUGUACUUAAUUACCUGUGUUGACUGCCUUGGAAUGAGCUUGAUGAUACAUAUGUGGUUUUCCUCGUUAAAUUAGGAAUCUCCUUUCAGCUCAACAAUAAAAGCUCUCUCUACUGGGUUCCCAGAACCAAGGUUUUCCGGCAUUUGCAAGACAUUUAUA